rnacentral:rRNA from 1 species
ACUUAAAUUGAAGAGUUUGAUCAUGGCUCAGAUUGAACGCUGGCGGCAGGCCUAACACAUGCAAGUCGAGCGGUAGCACAGAGAGCUUGCUCUCGGGUGACGAGCGGCGGACGGGUGAGUAAUGUCUGGGAAACUGCCUGAUGGAGGGGGAUAACUACUGGAAACGGUAGCUAAUACCGCAUAACGUCGCAAGACCAAAGUGGGGGACCUUCGGGCCUCAUGCCAUCAGAUGUGCCCAGAUGGGAUUAGCUAGUAGGUGGGGUAAUGG